UAGGAAACAAGCAGCAAGCUCAGGAGC
rnacentral:piRNA from 1 species